GACAGAGGGUGCAAACGUUGUUCGGAAUUACUGGGCGUAAAGCGUGUGUAGGCGGCUACAUAAGUCGGAUGUGAAAGCCCCGGGCUCAACCCGGGAAGUGCACUCGAUACUGCGUAGCUUGAGUCUCGGAGAGGUUGGUGGAAUUCUCGGUGUAGAGGUGAAAUUCGUAGAUAUCGAGAGGAACACCGGUGGCGAAGGCGGCCAACUGGACGAAGACCGACGCUGAGACACGAAAGCGUGGGGAGCAAGCAGG
rnacentral:rRNA from 1 species